rnacentral:rRNA from 1 species
GACGAACGCUGGCGGCGUGCUUAACACAUGCAAGUCGAACGGAAAGGCCCUGAUUUUGUGGGGUGCUCGAGUGGCGAACGGGUGAGUAACACGUGAGUAACCUGUCCUUGACUUUGGGAUAACAUCAGGAAACUGGGGCUAAUACAGGAGAGGAGCUACUGAUGCAUGGGGGGGGUUGGAAAGAUUCGGCGGUUGGGGAUGGACUCGCGGCUUAUCAGCUUGUUGGUGGGGUAGUGGCUUACCAAGGCUUUGACGGGUAGCCGGCCUGGGAGGGUGACCGGCCACAUUGGGACUGAGAUACGGCCCAGUCUCCUACGUGAGGCAGCAGUGGGGAAUAUUGCGCAAUGGGCGGAAGCCUGAUGCAGCAACGCCGCGUGCGGGAUGACGGCCUUCGGGUUGUAAACCGCUUUCGCCUGUGACGAAGCGUGAGUGACGGUAAUGGGUAAAGAAGCACCGGCUAACUACGUG